ensembl:lncRNA
UUGGGGACAGCCCCGAGGUCCCCGUGCCUUGGGGACAGCCGCGUCCCCUCCGUCCCCCCCUGUAAAUAAUAAAGCAGCGCGGGCUCGGGGCGUGCUUGUCCUUGUCACUGUGCUUGUCCCCAAACUGUCCCUGCCCCAUCCCCAUCCUGUCCCUGUCCCCAUCCUGUCCCCAUCCCCAUCCUGUCCCUGUCCCUGUCCUGUCCUUGUCCCCAUCCCCGUCCUUGUCCCUGUCCCCAUCCCCAUCCUGUCCCCAUCCCCAUCCUGUCCCCAUCCCCAUCCUGUCCUAGUCCCUGUCCUGUCCUUGUCCCCGUCCCCAUCCUUGUCCCUGUCCCAAUCCUGUCCCCACCCUGUCCCUGUCCCCAUCCCAAUCCCUGUCCCAAUUUUGUCCCAAUCUUGUCCCCACCCUGUCCCUGUCCCCAUCCCGUUCCCAUCCUGUCCUUGUCCCUAUCCCUGUCCCAAUCCUGUCUCCAUCCUGUCCCCAAUCCCGUCUCUUGUCCCCAUCCAUGUCCUUGUCCCCAUCCUGUCCCUGUCCCCGUCCUGUCCCUGUCCCCAUCCCAAUCCUGUCCCCAUCCAUGUCCCCAUCCUGUCCCUGUCCCUAUCCUGUCCUUGUCCCCGUCCCAAUCCUGUCCCCAUCCUGUCCUUGUCCCUAUCCCAUCCCCAUCCUGUCCCCAUCCCUGUCCUUGUCCCUGUCCCCAUCCUGUCCCCGUCCCCCCCACCCGCGGGUGCCGGGCGCGUGCCGAGCCCGCGGACGGACGCUGCCGCUUCCGAUGACGCCGCCGGUGACACCCUUGGGGACAUGGGGGGGGGCGUAACCCCCACAUCCCUGUGACCCCCAAAAGGGGGGGGGGGGGGGAACAGGACCCCAUAUACAGGGAGGACACCGGGAGGGGCCCUGUUGGGGUCCCACGGCCCCCCAGUGUCCCCGUCACUCUCCCCGUCACUGUCCCCGUCAUUGUCCCCGUGUCCCCGUCACUGUCCCCGUGUCCCCGCCACCGGCGUCAACAGGAAGGGGCCGGGGGGGGGGCACAGGAAGGGUGGGGGCGGACGCGGCCCCUGCAGGAAGGGGCCCGGGGGGGGCCGGGGGCACCUCGCCCUGGGGGGGGACCCACGGGGGGGAGCAGGGGGAGCAGCGCCGCCAGCACCCCGUGGAGCCCGUUGUCCUAUGGGGUCAUAGCCCCAUUGACCCCAUUGCCCUAUAAACCCCAUUGCCCUAUGGGGUCAUCCCCCAUGGAGCCGUCACCCCAUGGACCCCAUUGUCGCAUGGGGUCAUCGCCCCAUAGACCCCAUUGUGCCAUGGAGCCCAUUGUCCUAUAGAACCCGUUGCCCCAUGGAUCCUUCACCCCAUAGACCCCAUCCCCCAUAGAUCCUUCACCCCAUAGACCCCAUCACCCCAUAGACCUGCGGCCCCAUAGACCCCAUCACCCCGUAGACCCCAUAAACCCCAUUCCCCAUUAAUCCAUCACCCCAUGGAUCCUUCACCCCAUAGACCCCAUAGACCCCAUCACCCCAUAGCUCUGUCACCCCAUAGAUCCAUCACCCCAUAGCCCCCAUUGCCCCAUAGGCCCCAUAGACCCCA